rnacentral:rRNA from 1 species
UACGGGGGGGGCAAGCGUUGUUCGGAAUUACUGGGCGUAAAGGGCUCGUAGGCGGCCAACUAAGUCAGACGUGAAAUCCCUCGGCUUAACCGGGGAACUGCGUCUGAUACUGGUUGGCUUGAAUCCGGGAGAGGGAUGUGGAAUUCCAGGUGUAGCGGUGAAAUGCGUAGAUAUCUGGAGGAACACCGGUGGCGAAGGCGGCAUCCUGGACCGGUAUUGACGCUGAGGCGCGAAAGCGUGGGGAGCAAACAGG